rnacentral:rRNA from 1 species
UACGUAGGGUGCGAGCGUUAAUCGGAAUUACUGGGCGUAAAGCGUGCGCAGGCGGUUCGCCAAGUCAGGUGUGAAAUCCCCGGGCUCAACCUGGGAACUGCAUUUGUGACUGCAUCGCUGGAGUGCGGCAGAGGGGGAUGGAAUUCCGCGUGUAGCAGUGAAAUGCGUAGAUAUGCGGAGGAACACCGAUGGCGAAGGCAAUCCCCUGGGCCUGCACUGACGCUCAUGCACGAAAGCGUGGGGAGCAAACAGG